GCUGCCGCGGGGGAGGGGCGCGCAGACCGGCCGCACCGCCGAGCCCUACCGGCCGCCCCUCCCCCGCGCGGCGUGGGGCUGAGAGCGGGAGGCGGCGGAGCAGCCAAUCCCGGGCCAGGGGCCGCAUUCUCGUUAUCAGAUGGUUGACAUUCGACUAGGCCAAGUCCUUCCCAUCUCCCACAACCUUCCUUCCUCACCCAGUAACUGCCAAGAGAGAAGGGUGAGUGGUGAAGGCACUGCAGAGGAUGGAGACGGGCCUCGUUCUCCUGAAGGAAUGCAUCAGUUGCUGACAAAUUCAGUCCUGAAUGGCAAAUGUUUUCUUGGGCAUAAACAGCUCAACUUCCUAAUUUAAUAAUGACAGAUAUUACCUCAAAGUGAUGAAAAUACUGUCUGGCGUGUAUGGAGGUGCUGGCUGAGGACUCCAGUGACCAGUGCAUGGAGAGAAACUUGGUGGGAGAGCCAUGGCCUGCCCCACUGUGCCGUGCACAGGCAGCCAUGCUCAGAGGCCUGCAGUACAAGUGUAUUUCUAGGUACAUCAGCCCCUGGUACAACAGCGCAGCAGUGCUGAAAUGCUGUCAACCACAGCAGCUAGUGGUGUACAAAUAGGUUGGAAAAGCAGCGAGCAGCUUCAUGGUGUGUCAUACAGUGUUUGCUCCUGUUUGCUAGGUCUCGCCAGUGUGCUGAUGGGAAUGUUUUUCUGUUUAAUUUCCCUGCCGUCUGAAAGAGGUGUUUGACAACCCAUGGUGUACGCAAUAUGCCACUGUGGCAGUCCUGGAGCCCCAGUUCUACUCAGCCACUAGGCAGAGCGCUCCACUGGCAGCAGGGAUGGAUCUUCCUGCUGCUCACCUUAUGCUCUUAAUUGUCUUCUGCUUCUGUGCCCAUUUAAUCCCAGGCUUCUCUGCUGGACUGCCACCAGCUCAGGUGUAUUUUGGUAAUGCCUGCUCACUGCGAAAUGGACAAAAUGCUGUAAAAAGCCAAUUUACGUGAGCCACCAACAAUGUCAGUUUAGACACCAACCUGUGUCUGACUGUGAGGUUGCACAAGAAGUGAAGAGGCUUUAAAUCCUUCUGCUCUCUGAAGGUAAUUUUAGUGGUCUUCCAUUCGAAAUCAUUAAUUGCUUCAUUCAGUUUCUGAUGGAGCGUUGGGCAAAAAUGUUCAAAUUCAUCUGUGAAACAUACAGCUGGACAUAUUUAUAUAAGCCCACUAUGUUUAACAGUACUGUUACUUAUUUAAAACUUCUCAGCUGUGUGUGGGAGUUGCACAUUCAAGAACUUAAUUCAUAUCCAGAUAUAGAAAACAAGUGUGAGUUUCUGCCAGGGUAAUAAUAUACGCUGAUUGUUUCUUUCCUCUUCUAUGAAUUCUCUCUCCAUCUUUAUAGAGCAUGCAGUCCUCUUCAGGAACUACAGCUGUGCCUGGAUUUAAAUAAUUAAACUGAAUUAAAUAUAACCACCAGAGUUUGUAAAAAAUAAAAUUGCACACAUAUUUCACAAAACAUUAAGUCAGCUUUUGUUAAACGAAACAAAAGAAAACAAACAAAAAAAACCCCACCACUUUGUUGUUGUUGUUUAGAUAAGGUGCUUUAUGUAAGUAACUCUGCUACAGACUAAGGCCAAGGUUGAGAGCUUCAGCUGCUACUGUUAAAAACAGUGACAGUAGAUCUAGAAUUUCCCACCAUAAUGAGCUAUACUGGUGUUUUAAUAAAGUUACCAAUAUUUAAUCUCAUGAACCAUUGAUCAUUCUGAUCGAAUAACAAAUAACCCAUCCUUAUCAUAAUAUAUACAGAUGCCUCUCUGUAACUCAUGUCCUCCCUCAUGAACUCUCCAAGGCACCUGUGUUAUACAUGGCAUUGUUGUAGCUUUUAUUGGUGUGAAAUUGUUCUUUGGCAAAGUUUGCUGCAAAUUGCCCAAUGCAUUUACCAAUGCAGCUGGGUAACAGAUGGGUGUGGGAAAUUUAUAGCAACUAUUGUUCCAAUGAUGGAUCUGCCAUAGCUGUAAGAUUAGUUUCAGUGUAAGGCACUAUUUCACUUACAGUUUUAGCCAUCAAAAAUAAAAGCCUAGCCAAAGAUCACUGAAACUAUAGAUAGCUGGACGCGGCUCCUGAAGACAUGUUGCACAGACAAGAUACAACUGUCUAUGCAAACUAAGAAAAUACCAGUAGUUAUCCCUGGGAUUUAGAAGUGCUAUAAAUAUCAAGACAGUAUUUAGAUUACAGCUUCAACAGAGUCCCCAGCAACAUUAAUUCCCAGGGAUGUUAUCCCAGUUACCCUGUAAUUACAGAUUAAGUGCACAAAGUACAAAAUAUAGAGUUACAUAAUGAGUCUUUCAAGUGAUACUCUGCAAGUGAUCCCAGUGAAAGUUUAAACAAAUUCUUUAUACACGACUUCACAUCAGACACAAAGUCCAAAAUUCUCUCACUGAAAUUUCAGUUCUUGCCUUGGAAUAGUAAUGUGAGUAAACACUGAGUAAAAUAAACUGAAGCCCUCUUUGAAUCUGUAUCUUUUGAGAGUUCAUAUGAGCUAAGCAACACAUAUGAAGUUGCUCAGAGUGUUUACUGCUGGUUUUCCCCAUUCUUACUGUUUGUUACAUUUGUGUCUUUCAACUUUUCUGAUUAGACUGAAAGGCCUCCAGAGUAAACACCUCUCAUUAAAUGCUGAGGUACAGGAACAGUGGAUCUUAACUUGGUUGGAAUUGGAACUUUUGGACAUCACUGCGAUGCAAACAGUAAAUAAAAACUACUGGAAGUCACAAUCACCCAAAAGACACAAAGUGACAUUGGGUAGACUUUUCUGUAAUUAGUGCAUAUUGCAGUUUUGCCAUUUAUUUUAGGGAUACUCUGCAAUUUAUAUUUGUCCAUGAUCCCUUCAAAGUUACAACUUCCUUAAUGUAUUAUGCCUAUCUCCUGUAUUUUAAGAGAAGUUAAUUAAAUCAUCUCUGUUCAGUUUAAUGUUGAAACAGUGAAAAACUGGCACUAACUAAAUAUUGUGUUGUGCCAUAGAAAGAAGUUCUAUCUAUGCUGGACUCUAUUAUUUUCAAAUAGUAAAAUAUCGAAUAUAGCAGUGAACAUAAAUGUAUUAUGUAACAAAAGUUUUACAGUAUUACGCAAGUAGCAGUAGGAAACCUUUGUAACACCACAACCUGUUUUGUAUAUACUGUAUUCCAGAAAUGGUUAGGAAUAUUUUAGAGUUAUUUUUAAACAUUUAAUUGUGACUUUUUGUUUGUAUUUCUCUUCCUUGGUUACCAUGGAUGAGCUCCUGAAUUCUGGCUGAGGAGCAGUUGGCAUGGUGUUUCGUAAGGAGAAGAAAAGACAAAAAGGUGAAGUUAAGGCACCUUCACACUUCCCUGAUUUGGACUGCUUUGCUCCUGGACAGUUUCCUUAGCACUGACUUUAAGCUAUGCUGCAGCCUCUUAGCCUAAGAGCCUGUUUUGACAGCUGAUGCCCUCACAUAAAUCCUGCUCUGGUCAAAACAAACAGAAAGUAAUAAAAACUGCAGCCAUGUCGUGUGAGGACAGGGACCUCUGUGGAUUGUUGCCAUCAAUCCCUCACUCAGGAGAUCCUGCAGAGCUUCUUCUGGCCCUGCUAAAGGCAGAGUUAAACAUGAAGUUGUCAAAGGUGUGCAUAAAACGAGCUAUUUAUAUUUUUUGCCAUUAACGCCUACCAGCUGCCCUUAGAAAGAUUUUUAUAUCCAAAAAGUGUAACAAUUAAUGCUGCUGAGGGCUUUUGUGUCCAGAGACCAGAAAUAGCUGUUCUAUCAGAAGUCAACUGUGCUAGCCCUGUAAUAGCUCCAUAGUAUCUCUGUGGUAGUUAAAUUGCUCUUCUGAAGUCUGUUGUGCUGUAUCCUGCAGGAAGAUUAUCAUUCCUCUCUCUUUACUGGGAGGAAAGUUUGUUUAAAAUUAGCAAUGCUGGUGUUUUUAAACUAAUGAAAACCCAUAGAAAUGAAUUCUGGAGAACCAAGUUGAUGAACAUGUAGUGUUAUGGGUUUUUUUGGUUUUAUCUGUCCUUGGUUCUCAGGAAAACAAUAAAACUAAAGUAAUAAUUUAAA